rnacentral:lncRNA from 1 species
AUGGCAGGACCUCCUAUCCUACAAACUGCCCAGACCCUCUCACCAAAGUCCCAGCAGAGUAAGAGUCUGCUUUUGCUGAAAGAUCCCAGCGAAGCACGGCACGGCCCUCAGAUUCUAAAUACUCCUGAUGUGCACGCUGACCAUCUUUAUUUCCACCAUCCUGGUGGAAACCACCCUUCAGGACUCAGCUCAUACGUGAUGAGACAUCUCCCUGCUCUGGACUCAGCUGCCUGGUCUGUUUCUACCAUUGACCCAUCACACCAUAUGGCAUAUAAGAAAAUUGAGGCUCCAGACAGUUCAGUGACUGGUCUGAGGUCACACAACGAACAGGAUUCCAACAAGGUAGCUCCCUUAACCCCAUCAAUGUUUCCAUUUCAUACGUAGAUAAGUAAGAGGAGGAGGUUAAUUAUGAUUAAACAUCUAUUUUAUUUGCUUUAUGAUGUAGAUCUGUGCUUGGUGGUUUCUACAACAAAUUAUUUAAUUUCUAAUUCUGGAAAAUAAGCUCUAUGAUUUUAUCCAUCUUACCAAAAAUGAGGCUCAGAGAGUAACCCCCAAGGAUAUCCAAACAACAUGCCACCAGGCUGAGAUUUGAAGCCAGAACUUUCUGACUCUACACUAGGCUCUUUUCAUUCUUCCGUGGGAUGAGGGCUGCCGUAGACAAAGAUCUUCAAGGCACCAUGGAGCAAGGAAUAACUAACCCGUGAGAGUCUGGGGGGAUGGUGAAGAGCAGUGACCUAGUCUAAACUGUGAAGACAAAAAAAAAAAAAAAAUUUAGAUAAUC